GACGAACGCUGGCGGCGUGCUUAACACAUGCAAGUCGAACGGAAAGGCUCCAGCUUGCUGGCGUACUCGAGUGGCGAACGGGUGAGUAACACGUGGGUAAUCUGCCCUGCACUCUCGGAUAAGCCUGGGAAACUGGGUCUAAUACUGGAUAUGACCUUUCUCCUUAUGGGGUUUGGUGGAAAGUUUUUCGGUGUAGGAUGAGCCCGCGGCCUAUCAGCUUGUUGGUGAGGUGAUGGCCUACCAAGGCGACGACUGGUAGCCGGCCUUAGCAGGGGAACGGCCACAUUGGGACUGAGAUACGGCGCAGACUCCUACGGGAGGCAGCAGUGGGGAAUAUUGCACAAUGGGCGGAAGCCUGAGGCAGCGACGCCGCGUGAGGGAUGACGGCCUUCGGGGUGUAAACCUCUUUCAGCAGGGACGAAGCGUAAGUGACGGUACCUGCAGAAGAAGCACCGGCUAACUAUGUG
rnacentral:rRNA from 1 species